rnacentral:rRNA from 1 species
UACGGGGGGGGCAAGCGUUGUUCGGAAUUACUGGGCGUAAAGGGCCAGUAGGCGGCCAACUAAGUCCGACGUGAAAUCCCCAGGCUUAACCUGGGAACUGCGUCGGAUACUGGAAUGGCUUGAAUUCGGGAGAGGGAUGCAGAAUUCCAGGUGUAGCGGUGAAAAUGCGUAGAUAUCGUGGAGGAAUACCGGUGGCGAAGGCGGCAUCCUGGACCGACAUUGACGCUGAACGGCGAAAGCUAGGGGAGCAAACGGG